rfam:Musca domestica strain aabys unplaced genomic scaffold Scaffold4885, whole genome shotgun sequence.
AAAAUGGCCUUCCUAAAGGCCAGAAAACUUAAUUUGUUCAAAAAAAU